rnacentral:lncRNA from 1 species
UCUAUACUGAGCAAAGGUGAUGUGAUUAACUAAGUUUAUGUAAAUCACGGAAGAUAAUUAUUUCAAAAUUAAUGCUCUACCUCUGAAUCUGAAUCUAGAGAUGAGCAAACAGCCUGUUUGUCAGAACUGAGGCAGCUGUGUUUGCCUUUCCCUUAUUAUACGCCUAGUCAACUGUCUGGAAAUAAACCAGAGAUAUCCAGAGGGCUUCACAGACCAGCAACUGCAAUUUACAGUAUUCAUAGAUCUGCAGUCUUAUUGUGACCACAGAGACCAAAUUAAACAAGGAUGUAAGCAAGCAAAAUGCCAUGGACUUCCUGCAAUUGGUAAAACAGAUAUGCGGAGUUCUUUGUGUUAGAUUGUUUUCCAGAUUCCACGCGUUUUAGGCAAAGCCCCAUGAAUAUUAGAGAACUUGCAUUUCCGUUCAAGUGGUUGCAGCCUCUUGCCUACGCCUCACUNGGACAUCGCUUCCUGCUGAUUGUGGGGCAGCAGCUUGCACAGACGUCAUACAGUGAUUCAAAGCACCCUCAUGUUGAGUUGCAGAUGGGUACAAUUUGGACAUGCCUAUAUCAGUGCUCAUGAUGCCAAGCAAGUAUGACUACAACAACAAAGAGGUUGCAAGGGAAAUGAUGAUAUUAAUUGCUCUUGACUGUGCUUUCUUGGCUCUUUGUGUUAUUUAUUUAUUUCAAAAAGUAAAAAUUAUCAGGUCUACUUAUCAUUCAAACCUGAAACAACCUAUACAACCCAUAAGCACAACACUUGGAUCUUACUUCCUGGUUAGAGUACUUUAAAAAAAAAUGUUUAUAGAGUCCAGUGAGAUAGUAUUGAUGAUGAGGUCUGCAUUUUCAAGAGNGUUAAACAUUUUAAAACCCAUAACUGCAUUACCGAUCAGUUCAGA